AAAAAUACAACAAGCACAAAAGUAAUGGCUCAAGUAAGCAAAGUGAAAAUAACUGAAGUAUAAACAUAGGCCAAAGUGGGCAAAAAGCAAAUAUGAUAUGAGAUGCUAAAAUAAAAAGUAUAAAGUAAAUAACAAGAAAUAAAAGCAUGAAGUAAAUGACACUAAAAUAAAGUCAAUAUAAUGAGAUGUUAGUCAAUGUUAAUGGAAGAAGAAAAGAUGUUUUAGUCACUUUUUGG
rnacentral:lncRNA from 1 species